UGUGUAACUGACUUUUUAAUGUGGAUAGUACCUUUUAAAGUAUCCAUAAUAACUGCUGGAUUUUCACUAAAAAGCAUAAUUAUGCGAUUUAUGUAUGGUUAAUUGUGUAUUAUUUAUCAUGGUGACAAAACAAGUGUCCACAGCUCUUUAUGGAGGAAAAGCCUUCUUGGUGCCAUGUUUUGUUUUGCUCUUUUACACUAUUUUUUUUAAAUGCUGGGUAUUAAUAUAGUUACAUUGAUUGCAUCACAGCAUAUAUAAAAAUAUAAAAUUUGGUUACAAACACAGGACACUGUUGAAUCAAAAAAAUAAUAAGCAGAUGCAGCUGUUAAUUAUACUGAUUUGAACUCACUUUUGUUUCAUGUCUGUUCUCAUGCAGUUCGCUUGUGCAUUGUGUCCACUUAUUUCUGAAUAAAAAUUCUUCUGCAGCUGUCAUGUGAACAGUUGUGUAUUCCUUAGUGACUUGAUUAACAGCUAGGAGAGAAGUUUCAAACACUGGAUUAUCUUGGAGUAGAGAGAGGUGUAACUUGUGGGAUGGGAUGUGGCUUGGUGUGCACCUGUCCAAUUGAACACAAGUACUUGCUUGCUUCAGAGUUUUGUUGGUCAAGAUGCUUGAAUAGUAGCAUAGGAAAGCUUUUUAUUUCCCUGCCAGAAGUCUUAUGGGUUUUGAAAAAAUCGGUUUGUAUACCAUGAUGGGAUGCUACAAGACCCCAAAGAGAUAACUUUCCUUUCUGGUUUCUUAUGCUCUGGUCUCCAGGUUUGGGGAGAAUAACUGACAUGCUGGGAUAAAUACACCAGUACUUCUGUUUCUACCAGAUGACAGAUUCAUAUCAUGACGUGGAUCUAGUUUAGGCAGACACUUCAGCCACUUUCUCUUUAAAGCUGUCUUGCAUUCAUUUGAAUGUGUAAAUUCACUCCUUCACUUCCACUUCUAUAAUGCCAGAAAUGUCCUAUCUCUGGUAUUUAGUUUUUCAGCAAAAACUUUAUUCUCGUUCUGAAACAGUGGCUUAAUUUUAAUUCUUCUUCACAAAUUCACGUGUCACAGACUGCUUUGUGUUGCUUAAAAAAAAAAAAGCAGCAUUCAUUUCUUCUUCACAACUCCUUUCCAUCCUCCAUAACAGAAAUCUGCCCAAUGUGGAUUUUGUUAGUGCUGCUGGAUUAGCCCUUUGUGAAAUUCUUGUAAUACAUUUCUGUUUGAAGUGUGUUUCACAUUUUAAUUAUGACCACUCCUGUGAUAUCUCAGCUUUUUUCUUCUUAUUUAUACUUUUGAGACAUCUUGAAUUUCUGAAAUUCAGUCACCUUUAGUGAAGAGACUGAAGAAGAGUGAUGUGUAGAUUUCAUGAUGAUAGCGCAGAAAUCAGCCAUUCCUUUGUGUUGUAAACCCUUGGUUUCUUUUCAGUCUGGAUGGGAAACUUACAUGGCCUGUUCUCUUGAAGGGUCUCAGGGUUCAGAUAUCUUCUCCAUUAGCUUCUGGAUUUCUUCCUGAUUUCUUAAAAUCUUAGUGGAUUUUUAACAUUUGGUUGUUUUUCUUACCUAGCUAACUUAACUACCAAACUUUUAAUACUGAGCUGCAGUCCAUUUCUGGUGUUCAUGUACUUGUGAAUUGCCAUUACUAUGUCACCUUUUUACUUUAGAAGCUGAACUGCUACAUUAAUUCAAUCUAGGUGAAUCAACAUCCUACUUUCUUAUGGUCAUUAAUCUCACUGAAAAUAAUACUUCAGGUUCUUACUGGUUAUUUGUUUAAGAACAGGAUUUAGGUGCUUUUUCAACAGAGUGGUUCUUAUCUGUUAAUUAGUAUAUUAGUAUUUCUAUAAUCUGUUUGGUACUUUUCAAACUCAGACCACUUUGUACACGAUUCUUUUUUCAAACCCGAUUGUCUGCUCUCCAGAUACCAGUUACACUGCCAGAUUAACUACUGUUGUUGCGUUAUUAGACCGUGCAGUAUAGGUGAGGAAAAAAUGUGGCUGUUCUUUCAUUGUAUAUAACAAGCAUUCUGUCACUGUGUAUAACAAGUACUUUAAGGGCUGUCACUGUAGUAUUCUUGUAGUGAUCAUUCUGCAGUAUGGAGGCUACAGGUGUUGGAAUUCAUUCUUCCUUUCCUGCCUUAUGUAAGUUCUUGUGGAAAGGCAAAGUCAAAAAUGGUUUGUACGUUUCAGUGGUGAAACUCUUAAUUCUCCGCAAAAUAAUUAAAAGAAAAGCUUGCUAAUUUCUUCCAUGUUUGGUUUCAUGCUUGAUUGCCAUUCUUGUAGAAGAACUUAACGUGGUUUAUAGGAGGUUGUGACCAUGAAGUAAGGUGGUACUUUGGAUUUGGUCUCAAGGAAAAGAUUCGGAAAUAGUGAAGCAGAACAUCCAUGCAUGGAUAACUGAUAAAUCAAAAAGUGGAAGAGAGGCUCAGUCUUACAGUAAAACAGGAUGGAAAAGGGUAGUUUUCAGUUACAGCUGUUACGAAUAAUGGCAGGAAACUGAAGCAAAUGCUUACCGCUGAGUUCCUGUUCGGUUUGAGAGUGGAUUAUUCUUAGUGGGGAUGGAAUAACAACAAUAGUUACUGACAUCAGUUCAGAAAUGGAGAAGAAUGUAAGAGGUUGUACUUUUUUUUUGAAUAAAGUUAAAUCCUUCAUUAAAGCAAUGAUAUUUUGUGACCUUUCUGGAACAUAAAGGAAGUUCACAGGAUAUGGGUCAGCUUGAUAGGGGAGCUUAUUCAUUAGUGAUGAGCCUUUGUGAUUUAUAGCACUGGUUUCUCAGCUUUCCUUGAGUCCAAAAGAGAUGGAUAAAGAACACUGAAGUGUUACCAAGACUUAUUUAAAUGAGGAUAGCUCAGAUUUCUGACAGGAAUGUUAGGAUUUUUUGUUGGGAGUGAUCCGCCUUCACAUAUGAUACUAUACAGUGGAAGAAACAAGGGUAUUCCCAAAUAAAAUAGCCUGAUAAAUUCUGAUGGCUAAUCUGGACAUUGAUGGUGGCGAUGGUCUGUACGGGUGCUGUGCUUGAUCUGCUAAUACUUUUGGACUGGAUAUGAGAUGAUGAGAGAAUUGUUAAUUGUAACGCAUUUGCUCUAACUUCUGCUAUGUUUAUUUAGAUUUCAUUUGCUAUUCUAGUUUGUGUCUUUUCAGUGAAGUUGAUCAUAGUUCAACUAGUACCUUUGAACUUGGACAAAAAACAUUAAGCAGUUGUGGCAUGGCCCAGAACAUGUUCAGAUUGGUCAGAAAAGUUUUCUAAUGUGUGUCAUGUGCUACAGGUUACAAGAUGUAUUUCAUUACAUGGAGGCUUAACAAACCCUGGAAGAGCUUUGGCAGCUAUAACUUCGGGAAAACAUUACGCUUCUGUUUCAGCUUCUGUUUCCUUCUUUGUAUUUUGCUUCAUGUUGCUCAUACAUGGUAGAUAAUUUUUUUCUUUUAAA